rnacentral:rRNA from 1 species
AGGACGAACGCUGGCGGCGUGCUUAACACAUGCAAGUCGAACGAACCUCACAUCCUUCGGGGCGUGAGGUGAGUGGCGAACGGGUGAGUAACACGUGAGCAACCUGCCCUUGACACUGGAAUAACAGUUGGAAACAGCUGCUAAUACCGGAUAUGACCUCUGACGACAUCGUCUGGAGGUGGAAAGCUCCGGCGGUCAAGGAUGGGCUCGCGGCCUAUCAGCUUGUUGGUGAGGUACGGCUCACAAGGCUUCGACGGGUAGCCGGCUGACGGACGGGCGACCGGCCACGACGUCGGGACUGGAGACGUACGGGCCCAGGACCUCCGUAACGGGAGGCCAGCGAGGUAGGGGAAUAGUUGGACACGAAGU